rnacentral:ncRNA from 1 species
UUGCCCGUUGUAUGGUGGUGGUAGUGGAAACACCCACACGGUGACUGAUGGCACCGAGGACACCUAAACAACGGGCUUUU